CUGAGUUUGGGGUAUCUUCGGAUGCCCAAUCUCCCACCCUUUGUUUAACUACAAUUGUUGCUUUGGUAGGCCUGUCUUUCGGGACUGCCGGGGGUUUUCAUGACCUCUGGAUCGUUGCCUACCAGUAGCCAAUUCCAAUUCUUCUUUAAACCAUGUCGUCUGAAUCUUUAAAUGAAAUUACAUUUA
rnacentral:misc_RNA from 1 species